rnacentral:rRNA from 1 species
AUUGAACGCUGGCGGCAGGCCUAACACAUGCAAGUCGAACGAGUGGCGGACGGGUGAGUAAUGUCUGGGAAACUGCCUGAUGGAGGGGGAUAACUACUGGAAACGGUCGCUAAUACCGCAUACCAUCAGAUGUGCCCAGAGGGGAUUAGCUGGUUGGGGGGGUAACGGCACACCAGGGCGACGAGCCCUAGCUGGGCGGAGAGGAUGACCAGCCACACUGCAACUGAGACACGGUCCAGACUCCUACGCGAGGCAGCAGUGGGGAAUAUUGUACAAGUGGCUCAAGCCUGAUGCAGCCAUGCCGUGUGUAUGAAGAAGGCCUGCGGGUUGUAAUGUUCUUUCAGCGGUGAGGCGGUACCCGCAGAAGAAGCACCGGCUAACUCCGUGCCAGCAGCCGCGGUAAUUC